ensembl:snRNA U6 U6 spliceosomal RNA
GUGCUCAUUUCUGCAGCACAUACACUAAAAUAGCUAUACAGAGAAGAUCAGCAUGUGCCCUGCUCAAAGAUAAUAUAAAAUUAAAGAAAUAGUCUGUAUUUUU